CACGUAGGGUGCGAGCGUUGUCCGGAAUUAUUGGGCGUAAAGAGCUCGUAGGCGGUGUGUCGCGUCGGCCGUGAAAACCUGGGGCUUAACUCUGGGCUUGCGGUCGAUACGGGCAUCACUGGAGUUCGGCAGGGGAGACUGGAAUUCCUGGUGUAGCGGUGAAAUGCGCAGAUAUCGGGAAGAACACCCGUGGCGAAGGCGGUUCUCUGGGACGGUACUGACGCUGAGACGCGAAAGCGUGGGGAGCGAACAGG
rnacentral:rRNA from 1 species